AUGUCCCAGGAGCUGGCUGGUGCCCACCUUCUCUCAUUUCCUUACCACCCUCCUUCUUGUGUUGCUGCUUUCCCCUUCCCAGCUCUAAACUACCCAUGGUGCUGGAGGGCCAGAGAAGAAGUGUUACUACAGCUGCCCCCACUACCCACAACGAGCCCCAGUCUGCACACAGAGGCUCUGGGCUCCUUUUUCCCAAUCACAGACGAGAAUGUGUGUGAAAGAAGAGGCGCUUGUUCUCUCACUGGAGCUCCAGGAUGGGAAGAACUCAUCGGUAUCACAGAGACUGAAGAGGGAGCUAAGAAUUGUGGAGCAAGAACAGCAGCAGCAGCAAGUCUGUGUCUGAGCCCUGCCUCCAGAGUCAAGUUCCACCUCCCGCCUCAGAAGAAGCUGGGCAAAUAUACUUCUUCCUCCGUUCAUUCUGCUGUAGGCUGCUCCGGAGUCCUGCCUGAAGAUAGACAGGAGGCCAAAUCAGCUGCGGUGGACGAGAUUCCCGGGCUCACGUUCAGUUCACAACAAGGAAAAACCAAAUCAGGGCACUGGGAAAGAGAAACAGAGAGAAACCUGCUGUGGAGGAUGGCCAGGAAGUCCUCUCUGAGAACGCAACAUAUAAACCCGGUCUUGCAAGAGGCAAAGAAGCUGGAAGUGUGCAGAGUGGCCGUGGACUGCUGA
rnacentral:lncRNA from 13 species